CCCAGUAAACGGCGGCCGUAACUAUAACGGUCCUAAGGUAGCGAAAUUCCUUGUCGGGCAAGUUCCGACCUGCACGAAUGGCAUAAUGAUGGCCACACUGUCUCCUCCUGAGACUCAGUGAAGUUGAAAUGUUUGUGAUGAUGCAAUCUCCCCGCGGCUAGACGGAAAGACCCCAUGAACCUUUACUGCAGCUUUGCAUUGGACUUUGAACCGAUCUGUGUAGGAUAGGUGGGAGGCAGUGAAGCUAGGACGCCAGUCUUAGCGGAGCCAACCUUGAAAUACCACCCUGAUUUGUUUGAGGUUCUAACCUAGGAGCGUGAUCCGCUUCGGGGACCGUGCAUGGUAGGCAGUUUGACUGGGGCGGUCUCCUCCUAAAGGGUAACGGAGGAGUGCGAAGGUACGCUAGGUACGGUCGGAAAUCGUGCUGAUAGUGCAAUGGCAAAAGCGUGCUUGACUGCGAGACCGACAAGUCGAGCAGAUACGAAAGUAGGUCAUAGUGAUCCGGUGGCUCUGCAUGGAAGGGCCAUCGCUCAACGGAUAAAAGGUACUCUGGGGAUAACAGGCUGAUACCGCCCAAGAGUUCAUAUCGACGGCGGUGUUUGGCACCUCGAUGUCGGCUCAUCUCAUCCUGGGGCUGUAGCCGGUCCCAAGGGUAUGGCUGUUCGCCAUUUAAAGAGGUACGUGAGCUGGGUUUAAAACGUCGUGAGACAGUUUUGUCCCUAUCUGCCGUGGGCGUUGGAAGAUUGACGGGGGCUGCUCCUAGUACGAGAGGACCGGAGUGGACUCACCUCUGGUGUACCGGUUGUCACGCCAGUGGCAUCGCCGGGUAGCUAUGUGGGGAAAGGAUAACCGCUGAAAGCAUCUAAGCGGGAAACCUGCCUGAAGAUAAGUCUUCCUGGAGGCUUUGACCUCCCUGAAGAGUCGUUCGAGACCAGGACGUUGAUAGGUUGGAUGUGCAAGCGCUGUGAGGCGUUGAGCUGACCAAUACUAAUUGCUCGUGAAGCUUGAUCCU
rnacentral:rRNA from 2 species